GUAGGGCCGAACGUUUGUCCGGAUUUAUUGGGCGUAAAGGGCUCGUAGGCGGUUCAACAAGUCGGUCGUGAAAUGCCGGGGCUCAACCCCGGAACGCCGGUCGAAACUGUUGUGACUAGGGUCCGGUAGAGGUGAGCGGAAUUCUCGGUGUAGCGGUGGAAUGCGCAGAUAUCGAGAGGAACACCAGUUGCGAAGGCGGCUCACUGGGCCGGUACCGACGCUAAGGAGCGAAAGCAUGGGGAGCAAACAGGAUUAGAUACCCUGGUAGUCCAUGCUGUAAACGGUGAACACUAGGUGUGGCGGAUCUAUUGAUGUCUGCCGUACCGUAGCUAACGCGUUAAGUGUUCCGCCUGGGGAGUACGGCCGCAAGGCUA
rnacentral:rRNA from 1 species